GGCUUGACGAGACAUAGGCUGUCUUGGGUAUGAAUUUAUUAUUGAAUUUGGUCUUUGAGUUAAAAUUCUUAGAUGUUUUUAUGGGACGAGAAGACCCUAUAGAGUUUGACAUUAGGUUUGAUUUUGUUUGUGUUUGUUUUGUUGUUUAUUAUUUCUUUUUGUUUUGUUGGGGUGAUGGGAGGAAUUUUCUUAACUCCUCUUUGUUUUGGUAUAAUUAUUUUUAUUUAUUUUGAUCCAUUUAUUUUGAUUAUAAGAUUAAAUUACC
rnacentral:rRNA from 1 species